rnacentral:lncRNA from 1 species
GGGAGGUUGUCCAGUAAGAGAUGUUUCCUUCUUCCAGCUAUUACAGACCCUGGUCAGGAAGAGUGGCCAUGCUUUUCCAAGGCCAAAAUUAUCAGCUCAACUGGUGUUGUUUCCAGGAACUGCUCCUUCCCCUCACCCUGUCCACACAGAGAGAAAGUGAAAUAGACAAAGGACAAGAGGCCAAGCAGAGAACAUCCCUGGGCUAAUCAGCCAUAGCCAAAAGGUAGGCGUACAGCAGCCAAAGGGCCCUUUCAGAGAUGAGAGUCUAUGGGUUGGACUUGUCUGUAACAACAGGUAAGUAAUACAAAGCUAGCCCUUGCUACCUGUGCCUGGUUCCCAAAUGUA